GUCUCACAUAAUUUUGUUUUCUUAGUUAUAUCAUUUCAUAUCAUAAUUAAUGGCUAAGUUCAUUGCAACUCUCUUGCUAGUGAUGUUUUAUCUCUCUCUUGCCUUAGCAGCGGGAGAAGAUGCCAAAUCAAAGCUAUGUCAAACGAGUGAGAAACUCACUUGUACAGUGGGGUCGGGAGGAGAAUGUGCAGACUAUUGCAAAGUGCUUAUGAUUAGCCGCAGAUUAACACUCUUUAGAUCAAACUGUGUUGUAUCUAUUCCAGAAAAUGUUACCUAUUGCAUUUGUUACUAUCCUUGUUAAUCUAGAUGUUCUUUUAAUAAAUUGAUUAUAAUAACAACUUUUCAUUUUAAAGUA